AAAGGGGAUUACGGGCUAAAAAUGUCAAAAGAUAGAUUAAUUACUUUCUGUCAGGAGGAGUGGCCAUCAUUUGGAGUGGGGUGGCCGGAUGUCGGUUCUUUUGAUGUGAAAUUGGCUAAUGAAGUGUUAAGUGUGAUAACAAAGGAUGGUCAUUGGGAUCAGUAUCCGUAUGUAGAUUGCUGGGUGAGUGCUGUGAUGAAUCCCAGUCCCCCAUGGGUACAGAAGUGUAAAGGAAAAAUGUGUAAGAUGUUAUUGGCAAAAGACACUGGGAGAAAGCCCCGAGUCCUCUCUGAUUCUGGUAGUGAAGUAGAUCUGACUCAAGGGUUAAGGCGCAGGGAUGAGGCUAGACUACCACAGGACCCAAGGCGCAGAGCAGAGGCUAGGACACAGCUGGGCACAGACCAAACAGAUCAGGAAGAGAUAGCCAGCACUAGCUACUCUAAGACAGGCAUAGACCAAAUGGAUCAGGAAAAAACAACCAGCACGAGCCGCUCUAAAACACCUCCCCCGUAUGAGGGAAAGAAUGUGACAGAACCUGACUCUUUAUCCCCGACUGCCCCCGAUCCUCCCCAGACCCAUUGGAGUGCUCUCCAGUCUGACCAGCCUCCCCUUCAAGAACCCAGAUCAACUCGAAAUCAGAAUCCAAACUACCAGUGUCCACUGCGGGAGAUAAUGACAGGUGGAGGGGACACUGACUUUGUUUACGUCCCCUUUAACACUUCAGAUUUAUUCAAUUGGAAAAAUCAGAAUCCCUCAUUCAGAGAAGAUCCAGAGAAGAUGCAAAAUUUGUUCCGGUCGGUUGGACAGACUCAUCGCCCCACCUGGGCUGAUAUUCAAAUGAUGUUACACACCCUUCUAACCUCUGAAGAGAGGCAUUUAGUACAGGGAACGGCAGACCAGAUAGCUGAGGAGCAUUUGUCGGCGGGAGAGGGAGGAAAUAUGCGGGACAUAUGCCCAAUUGAGAGUCCCGAUUGGGAUAAUUCAGCAGUUGGAAGACAGCGUAACCACACUUAUUUAGGAAUUAUAAUGGAAGCCCUGGGUAAGGCAGUGCCACGGGUGACCAAUCUUUCCAAAUUGUAUGAAGUCUGUCAGGGAAAGGAUGAAUCUCCCUCGGUUUUCCUGGAGCGCUUGUUUGAUGCCUUUAAGAAGUUUAGUGAUUUAAGCCCUGAAGCCAUAGAAAAUCAGCGCAUGGUGAAUCUGAUGUUUAUUGGGCAGGCGGCCCCAGAUAUAAGAAAAAAGCUGCAAAAGACUGAGGGGGCAGCAGGUAAACCGCUUUCAGAACUCAUAGAGAUUACGUAUAAAGUUUAUGGGAAUCGUGAUCAGGUGGCAGAGAGGAGAGAGGAAAAGUGUGGACAAAAACAGAUAACAAUGUUAGCAGCUGCCUUGGGCAAAAGCACAAAUAUCGGUGGGGGAUGGAAGGAGAAACCUGCAGGGGGGCAGAAGAAAGGAACAGGCCGAUUUAAGCCUGAUGAAUGUGCAUAUCCAAGAGAAAGGUCACUGGAGGAGGGAUUGCCCUAAGCUGAAAGACAAACAGAAGAAAAGUCAGCGGGGGGGCCACCAGAUGCGGGCGGACUCCUCGGUGGAAGAUUCAAGCUGAAGGAGACCGGGAUCUGAAACCACCACCCUGCGGGCCAGUGCCCGGAAAGAUCCCAUGGUGAGAAUAAAGGUUAGUGGUAGAAACUAUGAGGCUCUAGUGGAUACUGGAGCCACUUUUUCUAUGAUCCCUGUAAAGCCCCCUUUAGCUAAAGAAAGCGGAAAGCAUGUAACUGUAGAAGGCAUUGAAGGAAGGCGAAUUAAAUUACCUGUGCGUAAGCCUCUCCUCACAAAAAUUGGAAAUAACACGUUGGAACAUGCUUUUGUAGUUUCCCCCGCUUGUCCUGUAACUCUCCUGGGGCGGGACUUACUAACAAAACUACAAGCUGAAAUUUUCUUCCGUGAGGAUCAAAUUGUUGUGUGGCUGCCGGUAAAACAGGGCUCGAAUUACCAAAUGGCCCUCCGAGGAGCUGAAACUGUGUCAGAAGCCAAAGGAAUUGAGAUUUUAGAGAAUGUUGAUCCGUGUGUGGGCGGAUGGGACUCCUGCCCGGGCAAAAUGCAUUACUCCAGUCAAAAUUCCUCUAAAGGAGGGAGAGGGUCCUGUGUGUGUGAGACAGUAUCCUCUGAAAAAAGCCACCCGCACGGGUUUGAAGCCGCUGAUUGAAAAAUUCAAGCAGUAUGGGUGGUUAAUAGAGGGAUCAUCCUCCUUUAACACCCCAAUUCUGGGGGUGCCCAAGACAGAUGGCACCUCCUUUAGGUUGGUGCAAGACCUGAGAGCUGUAAACAAAAUGAUUUUAGUGGAUCAUCCUAUGGUUCCAAAUCCCCACACCAUUCUGACCCAAGUUCCAGCAGAUGCCAAGGUACUCUCAGUAUUAGAUCUGAAAGAUGCUUUCUUCUCUAUUCCGCUACACGAAGACAGUCAGAAAUUGUUUGCCUUUGAAUGGGAGGACCCAGAUACGUAUCAUAAGACUCAAUUGUUAUGGACAGUGUUACCCCAGGGAUUUGUCUCAUCCCCCCAUAUCUUUGGAACAGCAUUGCAAAAAGACCUGGAGCAUUGGAAAGGGAGACACCCUGAGGUGGCAUUGUUGCAGUAUGUUGAUGAUUUAUUAAUAGCAAGUCCCGAUGUGCAGAUGGGAAAGAGAGCGACAGAAUCCUUGCUGAAUACCCUGGGAAAGAAAGGGUAUAAGGUGUCACGGGAAAAGGCUCAAAUUUGCCAGCCAAAGGUCACCUUUUUGGGUUAUGAGAUUGAGGAGGGGGUUCGGGCUCUGAGUAGAGAUCGAAUUCAAGCAAUACAGGAUAUGCCCGCUCCCAGAAACCCCAAAGAGCUGCAAGCUUUCCUGGGACUAACCAGGUUUUGUAGACUGUGGAUUCCCGAUUAUGGGGGAAAAGCCAAACCCCUAUAUGAAUCCCUCACAAAGGAGGGUCUCACAAAUUGGAAAUGGACUAAGGAAAACCAACAUGCAUUUGAGUUGUUAAACACUGCCCUCUUGCGACCCCCAGCGUUGAUGAUUCCAAAUGGGCGCAAGCCCUAUAGACUAUGUGCAUGAGAAUAAGGGGGUUGCCUCCGGGGUCUUAACUCAACCGGUGGGCCCAACUUGGAAGCCCGUGGGCUACUACUCCAAGGUCCUAGACCCGGUGGCAAAGGGGUGGCCUGCAUGUUUGAGGGCUGCCACAGCUACUCUUGUGGAGGAGGCUCAAAAGAUUGUUAUGGGAGCUGAUAUGGAAAUACAUACCCCACGUGGAGUUCCCCAAAUCCUUGGAGGAGAGGGAGGAAAAAUUUUAAACCCCUCCAGACAAUCCAGAUAUGAAAUCUUUCUCCUAUCUAAUCCAGGCCUUACCUUCAAGCACACCACUGCUUUGAACCCAGCCACCCUGAUGCCAGAACCGGGACCCCCGUGCCAUGAUUGUCUAGAGGUAUUGACUCAGACAGUACUGAUUCAUCCUGACUUGGCAGAUGACCCACUUGAGAACCCGGAGGAGGAAUUCUUCGUAGACGGUUCAAGUAGUGUAAUACAUGGCGUGCGACAUACGGGGUGUGCUGUGGUAACAUUGACUGAGACUAUGUGGAAAGAAAAGCUCCCUGCAAAUUGGUCAGCACAAGCAGCGGAGCUCACUGCCCUGACACGCGCAUUGGAAUUAGGUUCGCUGCACCUUUCCAGAGUCUCCCGCUUGAUGCGCCGAUCCACAACUUUAAACCAGGUGACCAGGUCCUGGUACAGAAGUGGAGAAAGGAUCCUCUUGCGGAAAGGUGGGAGGGACCCUACCAGGUGCUGCUGACUACACACACAGUUGUUAGCUUAUCAAACAGCGAUAAGUGGACCCAUUGCUCGAGGGUAAAGCCUUUUCAUCAGGAGGACACCAACUCCCAGGGUGUGGUCACUCCGGAAGCUGAUAACACCCGGGAACAAAAAGCCAACAAGUGGAAAAGUGAACCUGCUGGAGGUUUGAAAUUAUGCUUGCAAAGAUGUGGGCCCUAGUCUAUUUGUUGGGACUCUUGUCCCUUUUAGGUAUAUCGAACCCAAAGGUUAUGUCCACCUGUUGUACUUGUUCUCAAAACGAGCUUGCAACCCUCAGUAAGGCUCAGUACUACUGCAAAAUCGCUUAGCUCUUGAUUAUUUACUUGCAAGUGAAGGAGGGGUAUGUAAAAAGCUGAACUUGUCAAACUGUUGUGUUAAUAUCGACGAUAAUGGUGAGAUAAUCAAAGCCUUAGCAGAUGAAACAGAAAAGGUUGCACAUGUCCCCGUCCAAACAUGGAAUGGGUGGAAUUUUGAUUGGUUUACAUCCUGGCUCCCCAAUUUUGGAUGGUUAAAAGGAGUUUUUCUCGUCUUGUGCCUGCUAAUGUCAAUACUUUGCUUGCUCCCCUGUAUUUUACCCUGUCUCAUAGCCCUCAUAAAACGGACAAUUCAGUCAGUCUUCAACCGAGAAAUGCUUGUGCAUUAUCAAAAAUUAGCACUGGCUGAAACCUAUUAAGAUUAGAGUUAGAAAGCAUCUCGAGGGGGGAGUUGUGGCAAAAAUGUCUCAUCUCACUAGACAAAAGGCUUUACAGCUGAGAACUGUAAUCUCACUACACAAAAGGCUUCACAGCUGAGAUCUGCAAAUUGUUUCUUCUCCUCUCUCCCCCACCACUGCGGGGCCAGGAGGGGGGGUCCUGUUAGGGGGAGAGAACAGUCUGAACAAUGCUUGGUUCACGAUAAGGCUGAUUUCUGUGGGAACAAAGAUUAGUUACUGCCUGCUUUGCACAUAAACUUUGCAGAAAACUGUAGCAAAUCACAGAUUGCCACAAUGGGAUCUUGUUCAUGAGAGGUAUAAAAAUGUAUCUUCAGGCAUGGCUAGGGGUCGACACGGCUUUGAGCAUUGAACUCCCUUGUCGAUCUGUUUGCAAACAAAUAAACUCGAGAUGGAUCCAG